UCUACGGGAGGCAGCAGUCGGGAAUAUUGCGCAAUGGAGGAAACUCUGACGCAGUGACGCCGCGUGCAGGAAGAAGGUUUUCGGAUUGUAAACUUCUUUUAGGAGGGAAGAGCAGAAGACGGUACCUCUUGAAUAAGCCACGGCUAACUAAGUGCCAGCAGCCGCGGUAAUACGUAGGUGGCAAGCCUUGUCCGGAUUUACUGGGUGGAAAGGGCGUGCAGCCGGGAAGACAAGUCAGAUGUGAAAUCCCGCGGCUCAACCGAGGAACUGCAUUUGAAACUGGUUUUCUUGAGUACCGGAGAGGUCAUCGGAAUUCCUUGUGUAGCGGUGAAAUGCGUAGAUAUAAGGAAGAACACCAGUGGCGAAGGCGGAUGACUGGACGGCAACUGACGGUGAGGCGCGAAAGCGUGGGGAGCAAACAGGAUUAGAUACCCUUGUAG
rnacentral:rRNA from 1 species